ACAUUCACCUUCUUCAAGAAUGUGGUCCAAAGAAUUUAGGUUUCUUAAUGUUCUCCGACCUUUCGUUCCUUUCAGGUAAUGGAUUUUCUGGAAAACAUUCAAGACGAAUCGUCAUGACAAUUAUAUGGAUCGCAAUGUUUAAGCGCUGCAUCUACAGCUAUAAAAAGGUACGACUACAUACGGUAAACAUCAUCAUCAUAACACUCAAAAAAAAUGAUACUUCUUAUUGCAAGAGAAUGGGUAAUGGAUCUCUGCUGUUCUGAAACUCGCCGGUGUGCUUUCUCCAUGGAAUUGGAUUUCUGCGACCAUCAUGGAAGCCACCAUGGAGUUAAGUCUCGGCCAGUCUCCGGUGGAAGCGGUCGUAUGUGUUGAAUCGUCUAGAUUUUUUCUCACCGGCUAUGUGAAUCUGCAACCGAUACAGAGUACCGCAAUCAUUAGCAACUGGACUCGAGUCACUUAACUAUCGUUACGGACUGGAAUCAUAUCUUUACAUCUUCCUCCUCUUCACUAUCACCAAGAGUAGAAAGAUACCAUCAUGAAGGCUUGAGUCGAUCUGUAGUUUUUUUUUCAAGAUAUAGCAAACAAAAUUGCACAGCCUAAGUUAUUGAGAAGCUUUGCAAUCUGGUGUUUGGAUUUUAUUUAUAAAUUUAGAAUAAUCGUUUUGAAUGAAAAUGAGCUCUGUCGAUCGCUUGA